AUUGAACGCUGGCGGCAGGCCUAACACAUGCAAGUCGAGCGAGCGGCGGACGGGUGAGUAAUGUCUGGGAAACUGCCUGAUGGAGGGGGAUAACUACUGGAAACGGUAGCUAAUACCGCAUACCAUCAGAUGUGCCCAGAUGGGAUUAGCUAGUAGGUGGGGUAACGGCUCACAUAGGCGACGAUCCCUAGCUGGUCUGCGAGGAUGACCAGCCACCUUGGAACUUGGACACGCUCCAGACUCCUACGGGAGGCAGCAGUGGGAAAUAUUGCACAAUGGGCGAAAGCCGGAUGCAGCCAUGCCGGGGGUGUGAAGAGGGCCUUCGGUUUGUAAGGCACUUUCAGCGGGGAGGCGUUACCCGCAGAGGAAGCACCGGCUAACUCCGUGCCAGCAGCCGCGGUAAUUC
rnacentral:rRNA from 1 species